CUUGUCAAUUUACGAACUGGGGCAAAAUUCAGCAGUAAUUUUGUCAAUUGAAGAAG
rfam:Candida parapsilosis uncharacterized protein (CPAR2_103720), partial mRNA